ensembl:misc_RNA Metazoa_SRP Metazoan signal recognition particle RNA
GCUGGGCGUGGUGGCUCACGCCUGUAAUCCCAGCAUUUGGGGAAGCUGAGGCGGGUGGAUCACCUGAGGUCAGGAGUUCAAGACCAGCCUGGCCAACAUGGUGAAACCCUGUCUCUA